GAAGGGUGUUUAAAUAUACAAAGAAUUGCUAAUUCCACGCCCUGAGGUUAAAUUCCCCAGACUCUUCA
rnacentral:tRNA from 1 species